rnacentral:sRNA from 1 species
UACGCUGGGAGCGGACUCUUGGAGCUAUUGUAAGACAAAAGAAUCACCCAAUGACUCCUGAGGCAGUCAAGGCUAACUGGAAGAAGAUCUGUGACUUUGAGAAUGCCAGCAAGCCUCAGAGUAUCCAAGAAUCAACUGGCAGUAUAAUUGAAGUUCUGAGUAAAAUAGAUUCAGAAGGAGGAGUUUCAGCAAAUCAUACUAGUCGUGCAACGUCUACAGCAACAUCAGGAUUUGCUGGAGCUAUUGGCCAGAAACUCCCUCCAUUUUCUUGUGCUUAUACGGAACUGGAAGCUAUUAUGUAUGCCCUUGGAGUGGGAGCAUCAAUCAAGGAUCCAAAAGAUUUGAAAUUUAUUUAUGAAGGAAGUUCUGAUUUCUCCUGUUUGCCCACCUUCGGAGUUAUCAUAGGUCAGAAAUCUAUGAUGGGUGGAGGAUUAGCAGAAAUUCCUGGACUUUCAAUCAACUUUGCAAAGGUUCUUCAUGGAGAGCAGUACUUAGAGUUAUAUAAACCAC